rnacentral:rRNA from 1 species
AGUAAUGUAUGGGGAUCUGCCUGAUGGCGGGGGAUAACUACUGGAAACGGUAGCUAAUACCGCAUAAUGUCUGCGGACCAAAGCGGGGGACCUCCGGGCCUCGCGCCAUCAGAUGAACCCAUAUGGGAUUAGCUAGUAGGUGAGGUAACGGCUUACCUAGGCGGCGAUCCCUAGCUGGUCUGAGAGGAUGAUCAGCCACACUGGGACUGAGACACGGCCCAG